GUAGGAUACUUGAGAGGAGUUGCCCCUAGUACGAGAGGACCGGGGUGAACGAACCACUGGUGGACCUGUUGUGGCGCCAGCCGCAGUGCAGGGUAGCUAUGUUCGGACAGGAUAACCGCUGAAGGCAUCUAAGCGGGAAGCCCCCCUCAAAACAAGGUAUCCCUGAGGGCCGUGGUAGACCACCACGUCGAUAGGCCGGAGAUGUAAGCGC
rnacentral:rRNA from 1 species